UGCAGUGCGAUUUAAUGGAAUAUUAUGUUUGUUCCACAGCUGAUUUGACAUUGCGUCGCAAUGUUUUAACGCGAAGGUGAUCAAGAACCGACAACGCUCGCUGUUAGACGCAAAUCUUAAAUGGAACGCUUUUGCGAGCACGGCGAGGUUUGCUGGUGAUAUUGUGACACAGCUAAUGUACACGAAACGAAACACCAGGCAUGUGUCUCAGUCAAUUUCACUCCACCGUGGCCAUGUUGGAUAAACUCUGUGAUUAGAGAGAAUACCAGGGCCGUUUCGAUGUCACUCGGGAGUUUCGUCAGCGUGUACGGUGGACGAAUGCGAUUAAGCCGUUCCAUGUGGCUCGUGUUGACCUGUCAAAACUGGAUUUUGCUGAUUUGACAUUGCGUCGCGAUGUUUUAACGCGAAGGUGAUCAAGAACCGACAACGCUCGCUGUUAGACGCAAAUCUUAAAUGGAACGCUUUUGCGAGCGCGGCGAGGUUCGCUAAUGAUAUCGUGACACAGCUAAUGUACACGAAUCAAAACACCAGGCAUGUGUCUCAGUCAAUUUCACUCUACCGUGGCCAUGUUGGAUAAACUCUCUGAUUAGAGAGAAUACCAGGGCCGUUUCGAUGUCACUCGGGAGUUUCGGCAGCGUGUACGGUGGACCAAUGCGAUUAAGCCGUUCCAUGUGGCUCGUGUUGACCUGUCAAAACUGGAUUUUGCUGAUUUGACAUUUCGUCGCAAUGUUUUAACGCGAAGGUGAUCAAGAACCGACAACGCUCGCUGUUAGACGGAAAUCUUAAAUGGAACGCUUUUGCGAGCGCGGUGAGAUUCGCUAGUGAUAUCGUGACACAGCUAAUGUACACGAAUCAAAACACCAGCCAUGUGUCUCAGUCAAUUUCACUCUACCGUGGCCAUGUUGGAUAAACUCUCUGAUUAGAGAGAAUACCAGGGCCGUUUCGAUGUCACUCGUGAGUUUCGUCAGCGUGCUCGGUGGACCAAUGCGACUAAGCCGUUCCAUUUGGCUCGUGUUGACCUGCCAAACUGGAUUUUGCUGAUUUGACAUUGCGUCGCAAUGUUUUAACGCGAAGGUGAUCAAGAACCGACAACGCUCGCUGUUAGACGGAAAUCUUAAAUGGAACGCUUUUGCGAGCGCGGUGAGAUUCGCUAGUGAUAUCGUGACACAGCUAAUGUACACGAAUCAAAACACCAGCCAUGUGUCUCAGUCAAUUUCACUCUACCGUGGCCAUGUUGGAUAAACUCUCUGAUUAGAGAGAAUACCAGGGCCGUUUCGAUGUCACUCGUGAGUUUCGUCAGCGUGCUCGGUGGACCAAUGCGACUAAGCCGUUCCAUUUGGCUCGUGUUGACCUGCCAAACUGGAUUUUGCUGAUUUGACAUUGCGUCGCAAUGUUUUAACGCGAAGGUGAUCAAGAACCGACAACGCUCGCUGUUAGACGCAAAUCUUAAAUGGAACGCUUUUGCGAGCGCGGUGAGAUUCGCUAGUGAUAUCGUGACACAGCUAAUGUACACGAAUCAAAACACCAGGCAUGUCGCUCAGUCAAUUUCACUCUACCGUGGCCAUGUUGGAUAAACUCUCUGAUUAGAGAGAAUACCAGGGCCGUUUCGAUGUCACUCGGUAGUUUCGUCAGCGUGUACGGUCGACCAAUGCGAUUAAGCCGUUCCAUUUGGCUCGUGUUGACCUGUCAAAGUUGGAUUUUGCUGAUUUGACAUUGCGUCGCAAUGUUUUAACGCGAAGGUGAUCAAGAACCGACAACGCUCGCUGUUAGACGCAAAUCUUAAAUGGAACGCUUUUGCGAGCGCGGUGAGAUUCGCUAGUGAUAUCGUGACACAGCUAAUUUACACGAAUCAAAACACCAGGCACGUGUCUCAGUCAAUUUCACUCUACCGUGGCCGUGUUGGAUAAACUCUCUGAUUAGAGAGAAUACCAGGGCCGUUUCGAUGUCAGUCGGGAGUUUCGUCGGCGUGUACGAUGGGCCAAUGCGAUUAACCCGUUCCAUUUGGCUGGUGUUGACCUGUGAAAACUGGAUUUUGCUGAUUUGACAUUGCGUCGCAAUGUUUUAACGCGAAGGUGAUCAAGAACCGACAACCCUCGCUGUUAGAGGCAAAUCGUAAAUGGAACGCUUUUGCGAGCACGGCGAGGUUCACUAGUGAUAAUGUCACACAGCCAAUAUACACGAAACAAAACACCAGGCAUGUGUCCCAGUCAAUUUCACUCUACCGUGGCCAUGUUGGAUAAACUCCGAUUAGAGAGAAUACGAGGGCCAUUUGGAUGUCACUCGGGAGUUUCGGCAGCGUGUACGGUGGACGAAUGCGAUUAAGCCGUUCCAUUUGCCUGGUGUUGACCUGUGAAAACUGGAUUUUGCUGAUUAGACAUUGCGUCGCAAUGUUUUAACGCGAAGGUGAUCAAGAACCGACAACCCUCGCUGUUAGACGCAAAUCUUAAAUGGAACGCUUUUGCGAGCACGGCGAGGUUCGCUAGUGAUAUCGUGACACAGCUAAUGUACACGAAUCAAAACACCAUGCAUGUGGCUCAGUCAAUUUCACUCUACCGUGGCCAUGUUGGAUAAACUCUCUGAUUAGAGAGAAUAGGAGGGCCGUUUGGAUGUCACUCGGAAGUUUCGGCAGCGUGUACGGUGGACCAAUGCGAUUAAGCCGUUCCAUGUGGCUCGUGUUGAUCUGUCAAAACUGGAUUUUGCUGAUUUGACAUUUCGUCGCAAUGUUUUAACGCGAAGGUGAUCAAGAACCGACAACGCUCGCUGUUAGACGGAAAUCUUAAAUGGAACGCUUUUGCGAGCGCGGUGAGAUUCGCUAGUGAUAUCGUGACACAGCUAAUGUACACGAAUCAAAACACCAGCCAUGUGUCUCAGUCAAUUUCACUCUACCGUGGCCAUGUUGGAUAAACUCUCUGAUUAGAGAGAAUACCAGGGCCGUUUCGAUGUCACUCGUGAGUUUCGUCAGCGUGCUCGGUGGACCAAUGCGACUAAGCCGUUCCAUUUGGCUCGUGUUGACCUGCCAAACUGGAUUUUGCUGAUUUGACAUUGCGUCGCAAUGUUUUAACGCGAAGGUGAUCAAGAACCGACAACGCUCGCUGUUAGACGGAAAUCUUAAAUGGAACGCUUUUGCGAGCGCGGUGAGAUUCGCUAGUGAUAUCGUGACACAGCUAAUGUACACGAAUCAAAACACCAGCCAUGUGUCUCAGUCAAUUUCACUCUACCGUGGCCAUGUUGGAUAAACUCUCUGAUUAGAGAGAAUACCAGGGCCGUUUCGAUGUCACUCGUGAGUUUCGUCAGCGUGCUCGGUGGACCAAUGCGACUAAGCCGUUCCAUUUGGCUCGUGUUGACCUGCCAAACUGGAUUUUGCUGAUUUGACAUUCCGUCGCAAUGUUUUAACGCGAAGGUGAUCAAGAACCGACAACGCUCGCUGUUAGACGCAAAUCUUAAAUGGAACGCUUUUGCGAGCGCGGUGAGAUUCGCUAGUGAUAUCGUGACACAGCUAAUGUACACGAAUCAAAACACCAGGCAUGUGGCUCAGUCAAUUUCACUCUACCGUGGCCAUGUUGGAUAAACUCUCUGAUUAGAGAGAAUACCAGGGCCGUUUCGAUGUCACUCGGUAGUUUCGUCAGCGUGUACGGUCGACCAAUGCGAUUAAGCCGUUCCAUUUGGCUCGUGUUGACCUGUCAAAGUUGGAUUUUGCUGAUUUGACAUUGCGUCGCAAUGUUUUAACGCGAAGGUGAUCAAGAACCGACAACGCUCGCUGUUAGACGCAAAUCUUAAAUGGAACGCUUUUGCGAGCGCGGUGAGAUUCGCUAGUGAUAUCGUGACACAGCUAAUUUACACGAAUCAAAACACCAGGCACGUGUCUCAGUCAAUUUCACUCUACCGUGGCCGUGUUGGAUAAACUCUCUGAUUAGAGAGAAUACCAGGGCCGUUUCGAUGUCAGUCGGGAGUUUCGUCGGCGUGUACGAUGGGCCAAUGCGAUUAACCCGUUCCAUUUGGCUGGUGUUGACCUGUGAAAACUGGAUUUUGCUGAUUUGACAUUGCGUCGCAAUGUUUUAACGCGAAGGUGAUCAAGAACCGACAACCCUCGCUGUUAGAGGCAAAUCGUAAAUGGAACGCUUUUGCGAGCACGGCGAGGUUCACUAGUGAUAAUGUCACACAGCCAAUAUACACGAAACAAAACACCAGGCAUGUGUCCCAGUCAAUUUCACUCUACCGUGGCCAUGUUGGAUAAACUCCGAUUAGAGAGAAUACGAGGGCCAUUUGGAUGUCACUCGGGAGUUUCGGCAGCGUGUACGGUGGACGAAUGCGAUUAAGCCGUUCCAUUUGCCUGGUGUUGACCUGUGAAAACUGGAUUUUGCUGAUUAGACAUUGCGUCGCAAUGUUUUAACGCGAAGGUGAUCAAGAACCGACAACCCUCGCUGUUAGACGCAAAUCUUAAAUGGAACGCUUUUGCGAGCACGGCGAGGUUCGCUAGUGAUAUCGUGACACAGCUAAUGUACACGAAUCAAAACACCAUGCAUGUGGCUCAGUCAAUUUCACUCUACCGUGGCCAUGUUGGAUAAACUCUCUGAUUAGAGAGAAUAGGAGGGCCGUUUGGAUGUCACUCGGAAGUUUCGGCAGCGUGUACGGUGGACCAAUGCGAUUAAGCCGUUCCAUGUGGCUCGUGUUGAUCUGUCAAAACUGGAUUUUGCUGAUUUGACAUUGCGUCGCAAUGUUUUAACGCGAAGGUGAUCAAGAACCGACAACCCUCGCUGUUAGACGCAAAUCUUAAAUGGACCGCUUUUGCGAGCACGGCGAGGUUCACUAGUGAUAUCAUGACACAGCAAAUGUACACGAAACAAAACACCAGGCAUGUGUCCCAGUCAAUUUCACUCCACCGUGGUCAUGUUGGAUAAACUCUCUGAUUAGAGAGAAUACGAGGGCCGUUUGGAU